GCGGCGGACGGGUGAGUAAUGCCUAGGGAUCUGCCCAGUCGAGGGGGAUAACGGCUGGAAACGGCCGCUAAUACCCCAUAUGCCGAGAGGUGAAAUGAAUUUCGCCUGAGGAUGAGCUCGCGUCUGAUUAGCUAGUUGGUGUGGUAAAGGCUCACCAAGGCAUCGAUCAGUAGCUGGUCUGAGAGGAUGAUCAGCCACACUGGGACUGAGACACGGCCCAGACUCC
rnacentral:rRNA from 1 species